rnacentral:rRNA from 1 species
GUAGUCUCGCACAGAUGCAUAUCAAUAAGCGGAGGAAAAGAAACUAACAAGGAUUCCCUCAGUAACGGCGAGUGAAGCGGGAAGAGCUCAAAUUUGAAAUCUUGCAAGGUUACCUUUCACGAAUUGUAGUUUAAAGAAGUGUUUUCUGCUUACGAUUCGUAAUAUAAGUUCUUUGGAAUAGGACAUCAUAGAGGGUGAGAAUCCCGUCUAUGAUUGCGAUUAUUGUAGCUUUGUGAUACACUUUCAAAGAGUCGGGAUUGUUUGGGAAUGCAGUCCAAAAUGGGUGGUAAAUUUCAUCUAAAGCUAAAUAUUGGCGAGAGACCGAUAGCGAACAAGUACCGUGAGGGAAAGAUGAAAAGAACUUUGAAAAGAGAGUUAAACUAGUACGUGAAAUUGUCAAAAGGGAAGCGUUUGAACACCAGUGUUGUUUUCUCGAAAAUCAAUUAAAAAUGGCUCGAUUUUGUAUUGUUGAGACCUUAAAAGCUCACUGUACAUUUUUCGUGUCUUUUUUAAUGCACUUUUCGUUUAACAAGUCAACAUCAGUUUCUUUUGUUGUAAAAGAGUCAUUGGAAGGUGGCUUUCUUUUCGGAGAAAGUGUUUAUAGCCUUUGGCCUCUGCAAUCGGAGAGACUGAGGUCUGCAGCGUAGACUCUUCGGGGUUAGAUACAUUUGUGCUAAGUUAUAGCUUUUUAUAGACAACUUGUUGACUAUAAUUAGUCUUGUAGCUUACUCGCUUAUGCUAUUUUACCUACGCUUAGGAUGUUGAGUCGUAGAGCACGCAG